rnacentral:sRNA from 1 species
UAAGAGAAUAAAAAAGUUAAAUUUUGAAUGACAAAUGUAAACAUCUGAUCGUUUGACUUGACACGUGACACGAUCCUAUGAGUUAGUAACUUAAUUAGCAUAUGUAAAUUUGUUUA